rnacentral:rRNA from 1 species
CAAGUCGAACGCGAAAGGUUCCUUCGGGGACCGAGUAGAGUGGCGUCCGGGUGAGUAACACGUGGGUAAUCUACCUUCGGGUGGGGAAUAACGACCGGAAACGGUCGCUAAUACCGCAUAAUGCAGCGGCACCUAAUGGUGACAGUUGUUAAAGCGGGGGAUCGCAAGACCUCGCGCCUGAAGAGGAGCCCGCGGCGGAUUAGCUAGUUGGCAGGGUAACGGCCUACCAAGGCGACGAUCCGUAGCCGGCCUGAGAGGGCGGUCGGCCACACUGGCACUGACACACGGGCCAGACUCCUACGGGAGGCAGCAGUCGGGAAUUUUGGGCAAUGGGCGAAAGCCUGACCCAGCAACGCCGCGUGAAGGAUGAAGCUUUUCGGAGUGUAAACUUCAUAAGAAUGGGACGAAUAAGGAGGGGAUAAUACCCCCUUUGAUGACGGUACCAUUUGUAAGCUCCGGCUAACUCCGUGCCAGCAGCCGCGGUAAUACGGGGGGAGCAAGCGUUGUUCGGAUUUACUGGGCGUAAAGGGCGCGUAGGCGGCGUAACAAGUCACUUGUGAAAUCUCCGGGCUUAACCCGGAGCGGCCAAGUGAUACUGUUGUGCUAGAGUGCGGAAGGGGCUACUGGAAUUCUCGGUGUAGCGGUGAAAUGCGUAGAUAUCGAGAGGAACACCUGCGGCGAAGGCGGGUAGCUGGGCCGACACUGACGCUGAGGCGCGAAAGCCAGGGGAGCGAACGGGAUUAGAUACCCCGGUAGUCCUGGCCUUAAACGAUGGAUACUUGGUGUCCGGGGUUACAUAGUCCCCGGGUGCCGGCGCUAACGCAUUAAGUAUCCCGCCUGGGGAGUACGGUC